UUAAUGAGAGUUUGAUCCUGGCUCAGGACGAACGCUGGCGGCGUGCCUAAUACAUGCAAGUAGAACGCUGAAGGAGGAGCUUGCUUCUCUGGAUGAGUUGCGAACGGGUGAGUAACGCGUAGGUAACCUGCCUGGUAGCGGGGGAUAACUAUUGGAAACGAUAGCUAAUACCGCAUAAGAGUGGAUGUUGCAUGACAUUUGCUUAAAAGGUGCACUUGCAUCACUACCAGAUGGACCUGCGUUGUAUUAGCUAGUUGGUGGGGUAACGGCUCACCAAGGCGACGAUACAUAGCCGACCUGAGAGGGUGAUCGGCCACACUGGGACUGAGACACGGCCCAGACUCCUACGGGAGGCAGCAGUAGGGAAUCUUCGGCAAUGGACGGAAGUCUGACCGAGCAACGCCGCGUGAGUGAAGAAGGUUUUCGGAUCGUAAAGCUCUGUUGUAAGAGAAGAACGAGUGUGAGAGUGGAAAGUUCACACUGUGACGGUAUCUUACCAGAAAGGGAC
rnacentral:rRNA from 1 species